UUUAUCACAAUAUGCUAAUAUUUUGGGAAGGACCUGUAGAUGCUCAUUUGACUUGGUGAUGGACAUCCGACAAACUCAUGUAUGCUGCACUGCUCCAGCUCAACAUGCCGUAAAGGAAGUUGAACCUGAUAUGAAACGAUUAAUGUGUGCCUGUCCUCAAGGACCCGGAUGUGUGACACAAAAGCUGAAUUUUGGAACUGAAAUUGAAUUUCAGCCUUGAAAUUGAAAGUAGUCAAAAUUAAUUUUUAAUACAACAAAAUACAUUUUAAAAGCAAAUGAAUUCAGUUUCAAACCAUAAAAUACAGUUUAGUGAAAUUUAUUUUCAAACCAGUGCAUUUUUCAAAAUACACAAAUACAAAUUCAGUCAGAAGAAUUCAGAUUCAGUUUCUGAUGGCACAAGUUUCUUCCCAUUCCAUGGUCCGUCUCCAUCCACUGUCAAGGUAGCUACACUGUCAUCUCUUGUUGGCAAUAGCUGAAAAUAGAUGGUGACACAGAUAGUGACACUGCAGGCCAGGUCAAGGAUGUUUCAUUGUUUUUAAGAGGCACCCGUCAUUUGCAUCCACCCCAAUGUCCUGUAGUGCCUAUGUGGAAUAUUUCAUUGGUCCUCACUGCCCUGUAUUUUCCUCUGUUUGAGCCCUUAGCAGAAGUGGACCUGAAGUGCUUGUCUAAAACUACUGCAUUUCUUCUGACCAUGGCUUUGGAGAAAUGCGUGGGUGAACUUCUGGCCUUGUCAGUCUACUCGAUUUGGCCAGCCCGGAACAGCUCCGCACAGCUCUGCACGUUGUGUGUUGCAUUUCCAUAGACCUGCUUUUGCUCCGCUGAAGGGAACACCUCCUAAUGGCGCGGCUUUAAAGCAUCAUGUGUCGAGCUGCAUAACCGCGAAUGAAACACCCAACCACCAAUGUAAAGAAGACCGAAAAGCGUUACAAAAACAAGAGGUAACACGUCUAUUGCCUGGGGAUUAAAUCUGCUGUCUGCAUUGGCAAUCAGAUUUGAUGAUUGUUACCUAUAGGCCUAUAUUUAUUCAGCUGCCGCUGAAUAUUGUAGUCUCCUAUGAUCGCCAGAAAGAGUUGCACCUCGUCGUUGCUCCAAGGGGUGACUUUUCCGGAUAACUGUGCGGACUCCAUCAUGUUUCUCUCACUCGCUUGAAUGCACGUUUAAAAAUGCCGGUUGUUUUUUUUACGCUGGUCGACUCUAGCGGCCAAUCAGUGAACAGCCGUUUGUUCACGUCACGUACAGUACUGACUUGGCCUCGCUUAGCCUUGCAAAGAAGGAAGUACCAAAAAAGUAGGCACCGGUAACUGAAAUAACAGUAAUGGCAAUGCUCGGGAAGCGAGCCGAGUGGAGCCAAGUCGGGCCAAAUCAAGCCAGUGGAAAAGGGGCAAUUGUCUCAGUAAGGUCAGGCAAGACCUUUUUUUGCGAUUCCCAAGGUCUCUGUUGGUAAUCGUCAUCCAGUGCUUCAAGCACUCCCCCAGCUGUUAGUAGGCACGAAAUAGAAUGAGAGUUAUGACAAACUACUCAUACUCGUCGUCUUCCGCUUCAUCCGGGACUGGGGCCAGCAGACUCAGUAAAGA